UUUGUAUACCUUAAAGGCUUUCUCCAAGCACCAUAACCACUUCAGUAAUAUGAAGUGGUCAUGGUGCCUGGAGUCUGUAAGUGCAGCGUUUUGCUUCGAAAUGCUGCACAUACAGAGAUUAACCUGCAAGCCACCGAUCGUGUAACUCCAUCUCCACCAGCGUCAUUAGCCAUAGUUUCUGGCUGAUAUCAAUUCUAUGCAAAAUUCUUGUCUGUCUGCAGAGCAUGUUGGCUCCAAACAGGCACUGGCAUGUUGGCUCCUUGCUGCCCCAGUCCUCAGUCUGCAUUCGAUGACCUCCCUUCCCAUCCUGCUAUGGGGAGUGACGUUAGCAAUGGAAGAUCGAGCUUCAAUCUGGCCUCUGCGCUGGAAAAAAUAGUAACUUUAAACGUUUUAAUUUUGGGGGGGGCAUUUGGGGGAGUGUGGACCACCACAGAGAUAAUUACUACAAAGUUUUUGGGUUGG